GCACCGGCAGGUAGGGCGGCUCCAGCGCGCGCGGCGGCCCGUACGCCUCGGGCGGCGGGUUGGCGUAGGGCGGGUACCAGCCCAGGCGUGGGUCUCCGCCAUGGGCCUGCGCCGCCUCGGGACCGGGGUCAGGGAGCUCCUGCCUGCCUGGAUGAAGAGGAGGUCAAGACUUUGUCCCCCACUCCGCAAGAUACCCUCUCUGUUCCGGAGCGGUGGGUCCCUCCCCUGUUAGGACCUUGUCUCCCUCAGGACUGGACCUGGAUCCUGGGCCUGCAGUCAGAUUGCCAGUUUCACUUAGAGGUGGAAAUGUCAACCCACUGGUUGGAAUGGGAAGGUGAGACAGGAUUUCACCAUGUUAGCCAGGAUGGUCUUGAUCUCCUGACCUCAUGAUCUGCCCACCUCGGCCUCCCAAAGUGCUGGGCUUACAGGCGUGAGCCACCGUGCCCGGCCAAAAAUAACUUUUAAAAACAUGAGUAUAGCAUACACACACACAAAAGUCCACAAAUCCUAGGUGUACCACUUGAUGAAUGAUCCCAACGUGAGCACACCUCUGGAUUACCACCUGGAUCAAGAAAUAGGACAUCACAGCAGCUGGCAGCUUCCAAGGAGAAGCUCUGGAAAGUUCUGCCUGUCUCAGCACCUGGCUGGAUCGGAAACGAGUUUUCUUUAACCAGAUUUUUAAUGACUGACUUAUGUGGACAAAUCAUAACUGAAUGAAUCACCUCCUUUGUUGAUUUUUUUGGGUACUUUAUUUGCUAUUAUAAAUGAUGCUGUAAUAAGCACCCUUGAAGAAAUCUUCAUAUCUGCCUCUCCUGUGUAGCAGGUCACAGUGCCUGGGUUUGGUUCUAGCCCUCAUUUGUGAACUGUGUGACUCACCAUGCCUUUUUUCUUUCUGUAAGACAGGAAUAAUGGUAAGAAUUUAAAUGGGGGUAAUAUGGAGCGCGUUUAGUUCAGAGCCUGGUGCAUACAAGCACUCAAUAAGUACUGGCGAUUAUUAGACCUUUAGAUUAAUUUAUUAGAAGUUGGAUUUCUGGUGAAAGGGUUUGAGUGUUUUUGAGGCUUUGGCACAGAAUACCCAGCUGGUCCCAGAAAGGUGGUUCCCAUUUACCUGCCCGAAGGUAAUUCACCCUUACUGAUACUGAGUACUGUUUUCUAAAAGAACAUUAAAAAUUGGAUAGGUUAAAAACAGGUGAAUACAUUUUUUUAGUUGCAUUUUUUUGGUUACCCGUGAGAGUGAACAUGUUGCCAUGUGUUUGCUGACCUCCUAAAUGGUCUAUUUGCUCCUACCUUUGUACCCCAAAAGUCUGCUCUCAAGAUGGUAGCCAGAAUGAUCCUUUUUGAGACAUAAGUCAAAAUUUCACUCUUCUCCUUAAAGCUCUGCAAUGGUUCUCAGGUUAAAAGCCAAAGUCCUGUUCAAGGCCUCCAGGGUCCUCACCACUUGGUCCCUUGCUCUUUCUGUUCUAGCCAACUUGGCCUUCUCCUGCCCCUCCGCCGCACCAUGGCAAUUUCCCCUGCUCUGUGUGGUCAACUACCUGAAUCUGUUCAAAGCUUUGCUCAAAUGUCUCCUUCCUGAUGAGACCUCCCCAGCCCCUGAGCUCCCCAUGCCUCACUCCUGAUCGCCUUACUUAACCCUUCUUUUUCUUUUUUGCCAGUAGUACUUAUCACCGUCUAAAAUACUUCAUAAUUUACUUGUUUAUUGUUUGCCCCUCUCCAAUAGAAUGUAAGCUCCUUGGGGCAGGGACCUUUGUCCUUUGUCUUGUUCACUGCUGUGUCCCAUGUGUAAACUUGUCUGGCACAGAAGAGGUGCUCGAUAAAUAUUUGUUGAGUGAAUGAAUGGUAAAUUUUCUGUUCAUAUUCUUUGACUAUUUUCUAUUGUAAUGUUCAUCUUUUUAGUAUUGGUUUAUAAGAUGUAUAUUUAGCACCUUUUCAUAUAUCACUCUUUGUCACAUAUUAUGCAACUAAUUUGUCAUUUCCAUCAAUUUUUAAAAUACUUUCUUGAUGCUUCAUUUUUAAGCUGUCAGAUUAUUAAUCUUUUCUUUAUGGUCUUGGACUUUAUUGUUGCAUAACCGCUGCCUUCACCAGGAACAUAUAAAUUUUCAAUUAAAUGUUCUUCUGAGAUUUU
rnacentral:lncRNA from 1 species